CUUAUCAAAGGAAAGCAGUUUGGGAGGGACGGUCGGCUUUGUGAAAUCAAAGAAGAGAACCACUUCUGAAUUCAGGACCAAGAGUUCCUGCCUUAACUGAUCAGUGCAAAGCUAAGAGAGCAACAGAAGUCCCAGUCACAAGUCAAAGAUCUGCGCUGGGAGUGAAAAUCGUAACUACUAAAGACCACUAUGGAGAUAAUGGAAUUUUGUGGAGACAUUCAACUCAGCUCCAUUCAGCAGGCUUUUGUGAACGCAACCCACAAUGCAAAGACACGAUUCCAAAGGUGCCAUCUAAAGCCACCAUCAGAGUAGCCCAUCCGUCCCCUGAGGCUGAGUCAAGGCCAGAUCCUCACGUAGACGUGACCAAACGUGGCCCAGCAUUUUCUCUGACAGGCAGUAAAUGGCAUGAAAGAACUUGCAGCUUCAAAUGACCCGGAAGUGUUUGGCCGGGCUCUCGUGGCCAGCCCUGCCUGAUUCAGGCCCAGUCACAGAUCCUGAGAUGGAGCAGAGACCCCUCUUUAGGGCCUGCUGGGUCCUCCAAACUGGAAAUAAAAGACUAUGUGAGUCCCUUCGGGGGAACUGCCUGAAAAGUGAG